rnacentral:rRNA from 1 species
CUGUACGCGGCUGUGCUCUCGGGCAGUUUUGCGGAGGCUGAUUAUUUAUUACCCUUGUCUUUUGCGCACUUGUUGUUUCCUGGGCGGGUUCGCCCGCCACCAGGACCACAUCAUAAACCUUUUUUAUGCAGUUGCAAUCAGCGUCAGUAUAACAAAUGUAAAUCAUUUACAACUUUCAACAACGGAUCUCUUGGUUCUGGCAUCGAUGAAGAACGCAGCGAAAUGCGAUACGUAGUGUGAAUUGCAGAAUUCAGUGAAUCAUCGAAUCUUUGAACGCACAUUGCGCCCUUUGGUAUUCCAAAGGGCAUGCCUGUUCGAGCGUCAUUUGUACCCUCAAGCUUUGCUUGGUGUUGGGCGUUUUUUGUCUUUGGUUGCCAAAGACUCGCCUUAAAAGGAUUGGCAGCCGGCCUACUGGUUUCGCAGCGCAGCACAUUUUUGCGCUUGCAAUCAGCAAAAGAGGACGGCAAUCCAUCAAGACUCCUUCUCACGUUUGACCUCGGAUCAGGUAGGGAUACCCGCUGAACUUAAGCA